AGCCAAUAUGGCGCAGUGGUUAGAGUGUUGGACUAGGACCUGGGAGGCCUGGGUUCAAAUCCCUGCUCAGCCA